ACCAAAGAGGGGGACCUUCGGGCCUCUCGCUUCAGGAUAUGCCCAGGUGGGAUUAGCUAGUUGGUGAGGUAAUGGCUCACCAAGGCGACGAUCCCUAGCUGGUCUGAGAGGAUGAUCAGCCACACUGGAACUGAGACACGGUCCAGACUCCUACGGGAGGCAGCAGUGGGGAAUAUUGCACAAUGGGCGCAAGCCUGAUGCAGCCAUGCCGCGUGUAUGAAGAAGGCCUUCGGGUUGUAAAGUACUUUCAGUCGUGAGGAAGGCGUUGAAGUUAAUAGCUUCAUCGUUUGACGUUAGCGACAGAAGAAGCACCGGCUAACUCCGUGCCAGCAGCCGCGGUAAUACGGAGGGUGCGAGCGUUAAUCGGAAUUACUGGGCGUAAAGCGCAUGCAGGUGGUUUGUUAAGUCAGAUGUGAAAGCC
rnacentral:rRNA from 1 species